UGCUGCUUCUACCAUGCCUCCC
rnacentral:piRNA from 1 species